CAGAACCGCUAAUUGGCUGAUCUCAAUGGGGACAAGACAAUGGUGGGAGCCGGUCUUCCCCAGCUCGGGGGUCUGCAGCCCACAGCUGCCAGGCAAACAAAGAGCCACUGUCACACUGUCACAUCUUCCAGAAGCAAGCUCGGCGCUGCCACGCUCACCUCCAGCAGCCGACGCUGCCCACAAAAGCAGCCCCUCACCCACCUGGCAGCUCUGCUCACCUGCCAGGAGCCGAUCCCCAAGCCCCAGGUGCUAUAGGAAAAGCACGCGCUGUCUUUGGAAUCAAAGACCUGGAAUGGCUUCACUUCUCUACACCUGGUUUUCUCUUUCUCUUUUCUUUUUUGCUUCCUUUUAUUUCUUUUUUUAUUUUAUUUUGUUUUGUGGUACUGGGGAUGGAACCCAGUGCCUACAAAUUGAGCUAUAUCCCUGAACCUUUCUUAUUUUUUAUUUUGAGAUAUUAAGUUGUCCGGGCUGAGCUGGAAUUUGCAACCCUCCUGCUUCAGCCUCUGAGAAUGCUGACAUUAAAGACUUCAUGAGACUCUUUGGCUGCAAAAACAACAUCGCUCCCAAAUUUAUCAAGAGAUUGCAACGAUGUGAUUUAUGUAGGACCCACCCGGAGUCUGCUUGGUGUACAGGGGCCUGGCUCAGCCUGUGGGGAGCUCCUUCCUGAAUUCCCACCCUCUAGGAACCUCAGGACUGUGGGUCCCUUGCCCUGUACCUCCUCCCCACCACCUCCUGCUCUGCCCCACAGGUGGCAUGAGGGACACUGUGCACUCCUAGGACUGCUGUCCUGUAUAGCGUGACCUGUGUAGCCCUGGAGAACUCCAAGGGCACAGAGGGGACGUCCCUGGGGCAGCCUUGUGCUGAUGGUCCCUUCCUGGCAGAGCCCGGUCCCUCGCAAGGUCCCUCUACCCAGGACUCCCAUGAAGCCUGUUAACUGCUCCCUUCUUCAUCCCUUCGGACCUAGGAUGGUGACACAGAGCUGCCAGCAGCCCCAGAAUGGUGCAGGGUUCCAACCCAUCACCCACCCCUUUAUCAACUGCCCUAUAAAUCAUCCUCGGGGAGCAAGCCAAGUGUUUCCUGUUUCUCCUCCUUUUUGUCUCAGUCCUCCAGGACUUCAGAACAAGCCCUGAAGUUAAAAAUCCCACCUCCUCCAAGAGGCCCUGCCAGAUUGCAGCUAUGCCAUCCCUUCCCUUCUGAAUCUCUUUGGCGUUAUGGGAGUUUUACUCUGUCCACCCGGUGGCCGUGUGGGCCCAUAUCUCCCCUCUCCACACGGCAGCAGCACCCUGAGGACAGAGCUGCACUCUAAUGCCUCUUUGCAAUUUCUAUUUCAGCCAAACCGAAUUUGCUGUAGCUUCGCUGGCACUCUUAAGGCCGGGCAUCUCCGCACGCUGUUCCCUCCUCCCCAGCACCCCAACACCACUGUAAAAUGCACACCCUCCCACGCC
rnacentral:lncRNA from 1 species